rnacentral:tRNA from 1 species
CAAAAAAUAGUUUAAAUAAAAUUUGAACUUUGGGAGUUUAAGAUGUAGUUCGCUACUUUUUUGA